GACGAACGCUGGCGGUGUGCUUAACGCAUGCAAGUCGAACGGUAAGGCCCUUUCGGGGGUACACGAGUGGCGAACGGGUGAGUAACACGUGAGUAACCUGCCCUCAUCUCUGGGAUAACAGUCGGAAACGGUUGCUAAUACUGGAUAUGAGCUUGCAAGGCAUCUUGUGGGUUGGAAAGAUUUUUUUUGGUUGGGGAUGGACUCGCGGCCUAUCAGCUUGUUGGUGAGGUAGUGGCUCACCAAGGCUUCGACGGGUAGCCGGCCUGAGAGGGCGACCGGCCACAUUGGGACUGAGAUACGGCCCAAACUCCUACGGGAGGCAGCAGUGGGGAAUAUUGCACAAUGGACGGAAGUCUGAUGCAGCAACGCCGCGUGCGGGAUGACGGCCUUCGGGUUGUAAACCGCUUUCAAUUGUGACGAAGCUUUUUUGUGACGGUAGCAGUAGAAGAAGCACCGGCUAACUACGUG
rnacentral:rRNA from 1 species